UGUGUGGCGGAAUUGGUAGACGCGCUGGACUCAAAAUCCAGUGGUAGCAAUAUCGUGUGGGUUCGAGUCCCACCACAG
rnacentral:tRNA from 1 species